CCUACGGGGCGCAGCAGUGGGGAAUAUUGGACAAUGGGCGAAAGCCUGAUCCAGCCAUGCCGCGUGUGUGAAGAAGGCCUUCGGGUUGUAAAGCACUUUCAGUGGGGAAGAAAGCCUUGGGGCUAAUACCCUCGAGGAAGGACAUCACCCACAGAAGAAGCACCGGCUAACUCCGUGCCAGCAGCCGCGGUAAUACGGAGGGUGCGAGCGUUAAUCGGAAUUACUGGGCGUAAAGCGCGCGUAGGCGGUCUGAUAAGCCGGUUGUGAAAGCCCCGGGCUCAACCUGGGAACGGCAUCCGGAACUGUCAGGUUAGAGUGCAGGAGAGGAAGGUAGAAUUCCCGGUGGAGCGGUGAAAUGCGUAGAGAUCGGGAGGAAUACCAGUGGCGAAGGCGGCCUUCUGGACUGACACUGACGCUGAGGUGCGAAAGCGUGGGUAGCAAACAGGAUUAGAUACCCGGGUCGUC
rnacentral:rRNA from 1 species